AUUCAGCUGAUGAGUCCCAAAUAGGUCGAAAGGCACGUCCUUGAU
rnacentral:hammerhead_ribozyme from 1 species